rnacentral:tRNA from 1 species
GAGGGUAUAGUUCAGUGGUAGAGUGUGUGCUUAGCAUGCACAAGGUCCUGGGUUCAAUCCCCAGUACCACUG